UUUUUUGCUUAAAACUCAUUAUAAGUCGAGAAGUGAAAAACAAUGUUAUCACCUUAUUCAAAGGGUUGAAAGAGUCUUGUUUGGAGUUGUGUGGGGUUGAAUAAUUAUGUUUGUAAUAUUUCAGAAGUUGGCAGAAAAAGAAAAAAAAUAGAAAAGAAAAAAAAAGGAAUGAAAAAAUAGAAGGAUAAGAGGAAGAAAAAAAUAGAAGGCUAAGAGGAAGAAAAAAA
rnacentral:lncRNA from 1 species